rnacentral:rRNA from 1 species
GUCAGCGGCGGACGGGUGAGUAACACGUGGGUAACCUGCCUGUAAGACUGGGAUAACUCCGGGAAACCGGGGCUAAUACCGGAUGCUUGAUUGAGCCGCAUGGUUCAAUUAUAAAAGGUGGCUUUCAGCUACCACUUACAGAUGGACCCGCGGCGCAUUAGCUAGUUGGUGAGGUAACGGCUCACCAAGGCGACGAUGCGUAGCCGACCUGAGAGGGUGAUCGGCCACACUGGGACUGAGACACGGCCCAGACUCCUACGGGAGGCAGCAGUAGGGAAUCUUCCGCAAUGGACGAAAGUCUGACGGAGCAACGCCGCGUGAGUGAUGAAGGUUUUCGGAUCGUAAAACUCUGUUGUUAGGGAAGAACAAGUACCGUUCGAAUAGGGCGGCACCUUGACGGUACCUAACCAGAAAGCCACGGCUAACUACGUGCCAGCAGCCGCGGUAAUACGUAGGUGGCAAGCGUUGUCCGGAAUUAUUGGGCGUAAAGCGCGCGCAGGCGGUCUCUUAAGUCUGAUGUGAAAGCCCACGGCUCAAACCGUGGAGGGUCAUUGGAAACUGGGAGACUUG